rnacentral:rRNA from 1 species
CGCGGCCCAUCAGCUAGUUGGCGGGGUAAUGGCCCACCAAGGCAACGACGGGUAGCUGGUCUGAGAGGACGAUCAGCCACACUGGAACUGAGACACGGUCCAGACUCCUACGGGAGGCAGCAGUGGGGAAUUUUGCGCAAUGGGCGAAAGCCUGACGCAGCAACGCCGCGUGUGUGAUGAAGGUCUUCGGAUUGUAAAGCACUUUCGACCGGGACGAAAACCCUCUGGCUAACAUCCAGGGGCUUGACGGUACCGGGAGAAGAAGCACCGGCUAACUCUGUGCCAGCAGCCGCGGUAAUACAGAGGGUGCAAG